rnacentral:lncRNA from 13 species
GCAUUCCAAAUGGCACCCGUUUCCUAAUGUAGUGCACUACUUUUGACCAGGACCCACAGGACUCUGGUCAAAAGGAGUGCACUAUGUAGGGAAUAGGGUGCCAUUUGGGAUAUAACAUAGACAUCACAGAUCUGAUUCCUGCUAAAGGUAUCAGGUUUUCCUCUAAUCUUUUCUCUUUGUUUUCUUUGACUCCUUCAAACUCCGACCAUGAGGGCCACUGGCUGUUCUUACAAACAGCAAACACUGGCAUUGUGUCUUGCUUUGGAAAGUUUCAAGUUCAAGUAUGCUUCCUUGUAGUUAUAUUAGUAGACAUCGGUCAACUAUGGCAGCCACAGGCAUGAAAGAUUAUGGCAAAGAUUGUGACAUUUUUUAAAAGAUGCAGUUGUUCCUGUCUAUGUUUUCAAAGGGAACUUCCUUUUGGAGAGAUGUCCCAUGUGACCAGCUAUGUGAUGCAAUGUAGGUGAAGUUCUGUAGACUACCUAGUAGCAAGUCAGAUUUCACCACCAUUUCAUGAAAAAUAAUGUGUGGUACUCCCAACCUAUUGUACCCUAUCCAUUGCAGGUUACACUGCACUAGAUUAUCUCUGCCUGUAUCAAAGGCAAUCAUCUGGAACUAGCCAGCCAUUUUGUUUUUCCCCCUAAAGCUGAUGAGACUGAGUGAGGACAUUUGCCCCAUCUCAAUGAAGACAUUUCUGAUGGAAAAACUGAUGUUUUUGCAAUAGACAAGAAUAACAUUUCAGCAUUAUGCCCACAACCAAAGCAUGUAUUUCAGUGGUCCAAACUCUACGUUUCCUUACUGUAGCCUAAUUCACAAUCAUGAGUCCGAGAUCAGAUGGCUACGACUGUGAAUUCUCUGCUUUGCCUAAUGUUCAGAGUUUUAAUCAUCUGCAACCGCAUGCCUGGAGUGGUUGGUGUGUUAGCAACGCGCUUGGAAAAUCACCGCCUCAGGCAAAGUAAAGUGGUUUGGUGAAUCUCCUGCUGUCUGCUUCUGCUGUUCCAACAUGACCUCAGGCCUCUGAAGACCUUUCUGUUAUUCAUCCUCCUGCUCUCUCUGUACCAAUCUCCUGU